GAUGAACGCUGGCGGUAUGCUUUACACAUGCAAGUCGUACGAUAGUUUAAAACUAAAGUGGCGGACGGGUGAGUAACACGUAAGAAUUUACCUUUAGGAGGGGGACAACAACUGGAAACGGUUGCUAAUACCCCAUAUGCUUUCGAGUAAAAUGGAAUUUUUCGCCUAAAGAGAAGCUUGCGGCUGAUUAGCUUGUUGGUAAGGUAAUGGCUUACCAAGGCGACGAUCAGUAUCUGGUUUGAGAGGACGAUCAGACACACUGGAACUGAGACACGGUCCAGACUCCUACGGGAGGCAGCAGUGGGGAAUUUUCCGCAAUGGGCGAAAGCCUGACGGAGCAAUACCGCGUGAGGGAUGACGGCCUAUGGGUUGUAAACCUCUUUUUUUAGGGAGGAAUAAAAUGACGUGUACCUAAAGAAUAAGCAUCGGCUAACUCCGUGCCAGCGCCGCGGU
rnacentral:rRNA from 1 species